UACGGAGGGUGCGAGCGUUGUCCGGAAUCACUGGGCGUAAAGGGCGCGUAGGCGGCGCGAGUAGUCAACGGUGAAAGCCCGGGGCUCAACCCCGGGUCGGCCGUCGAUACUCUCGUGCUUGAGCACUGUAGAGGCAGGUGGAAUUCCGGGUGUAGCGGUGGAAUGCGUAGAGAUCCGGAAGAACACCGGUGGCGAAGGCGGCCUGCUGGGCAGUAGCUGACACUGAUGCGCGACAGCGUGGGGAGCAAACAGG
rnacentral:rRNA from 1 species